UGUCCCAUGCUGGGCCUCUCUUUCCCUAGAGCAGAGCCCAGGCUUGUGCUAGUCUCUGGAGCAGAAAGGGAAAGUGUGAGCGGGCCUGCCCUCCAGGGACUUCCAGGCUAUUACUUGUCGUGGGUACAGAGAGCAUUGCGGCAAUGGGGGAGGGGCGGGAAGGCUUGAGGGCGGCACCUGAAGGCAGAAGUGAGCUCAGCAGGUGUGCCAGGCCCAUGUGCCAGGCCAGGAGGUAGAAUGCCAAGUAAAAGGAAGAGCGAGGAGGCCUCCCUGGUCAGGACAUGGGAGCGCUUAACAGGCACGCACGUGUAAUCAGCCUAGAAAGGCAGGCUGUGAGGAGCUUGAAAUGCCAGAUAGCGGCACAGUUUGUGUCUGAGCAGAGGCAAGAGGGAGCCACUGAUGCAGGCUUACACUGCCAGAUAACCACAGGAUUUCAACCUCAAUGUCUACCAGAUGAGGACGCUAGACCCAGAGGAAUCUUGGAGACCCCUCAUGUUAUAGUUGAGGAAACUGAGGUCCAGGAAGGUGUGACCUGCCCAAGGCCUAAGCAGGAUUUGAACCCAGGUCCUGUGCUUUAGAAACUCACUGGAGGAAUGGCCCUGGGCAAGUCAUUUCCCCUGGAGCCCGAGUUCCCCACCAGGUAUACGCCCCGCCCAGGGUGAUUUGCUAGCGUCGGCUGUAUUAUGCAGCUUCUCCCUUCCGCUUCCUG